UCAAGCUAAAAAGAGCGCAGGGUGGAUGCCUUGGCACUAAGAGCCGAUGAAAGACGUGAUAAGCUGCGAUAAGCUACGGGGAGGAGCACAUAUCCAUUGAUCCGUAGAUUUCUGAAUGGGGAAACCCGGCUGAGCAUACCUCAGUCACCGUGCACUGAAUCCAUAGGUGUACGGAGGGAACCCGGUGAACUGAAACAUCUAAGUAGCCGGAGGAAGAGAAAGAAAACUCGAUUUUCAAAGUAGCGGCGAGCGAAAUGGAAAGAGCCCAAACCGGAGUGCGUGCACUCCGGGGUUCGGACUGCAUUUAUGACUUCUGACUGUAGCGGAACGGUUCUGGAAAGACCGGCCAGAGAGGGUGAGAGCCCCGUAGGCGAAACGGAAAGAAGCAGAGCAGGAUCCAGAGUACCACGAGACACGAGAAACCUUGUGGGAAUGAGCGGGGACCACCCCGUAAGGCUAAAUACUCCUUAGUGACCGAUAGAGCAGAGUACUGUGAAGGAAAGGUGAAAAGGACCCCGGGAGGGGAGUGAAAGAGAACCUGAAACCCUGUGUUUACAAACUGUGGAAGUACCAUACGAGUACAACCGCGUACUUUUUGUAGAACGGUCCGGCGAGUUACGUUUACUGGCGAGGUUAAGCACUUAAGGUGCGGAGCCGAAGGGAUACCAAGUCUUAACAGGGCGUAAAGUCAGUGUACGUAGACCCGAAACCGGGUGAUCUACCCAUGUCCAGGCUGAAGUUGCCGUAAAAGGCAAUGGAGGGCCGAACGCACAUCCGUUGAAAAGGGUGGCGAUGAGGUGUGGGUAGGGGAGAAAUUCCAAUCGAACCCGGAGAUAGCUGGUUCUCCUCGAAAUAGCUUUAGGGCUAGCCUCGUUUUAGUCUUAUGGAGGUAGAGCACUGAAUUUCCGCGGGGGCGUCAAAGCUUACCAAAGAAUAUCAAACUCCGAAUGCCAUGUAGAUGAUGAACGGGAGUCAGACUGCACGAGAUAAGUUGGGCAGUCAAAAGGGAAAGAGCCCAGACCGCCAGCCAAGGUCCCAAAGUGUGUGUUAAGUGGAAAAGGAUGUGGGAUCUCCAAGACAACUAGGAUGUUGGCUCAGAAGCAGCCACACAUUCAAAGAGUGCGUAACAGCUCACUAGUCGAGAGGUCCUGCGCCGAAAAUGUCCGGGGCUGAAACACAACACCGAAGCUGCGGAAUUGCGAAUGCAAUUGGUAGAGGAGCAUUCUUAAUGCCGACGAAGCUGUACCGGAAGGAGCAGUGGAGGGAUAAGAAGAGAGAAUGCCGGAAUGAGUAGCGAGAGAGAGGUGGGAAUCCUCUCGGCCGAAUAUCCAAGGUUUCCAGAGUAAAGCUGAUCUGCUCUGGGUAAGUCGGGGCCUAAGGCGAGGUCAAGAGACGUAGCCGAUGGACAACAGGUUUAGAUUCCUGUACCGCAUAUAAACAGAACUGUGGGGACGCAUGGGGAGAGCAUGGGCCGGGAAUGGAAAUACCGGUGCAAGCGAAGGAGGUGUGCAGCCGGCAAAUCCGCUGCAUGAGCCGAAAGCGUGACGCGGAGCGAAAUGAAAGUAGCGAAGCAUGUGAGCCCUGUGCCGAGAAAAGCCGCUAUAGCUUUAUAUGUGCCCGUACCGUAAACCGACACAGGUGGAUGAGGAGAGAAUCCUAAGGCCGGCGGAAGAAGUAUUGUUAAGGAACUCGGCAAAAUGACCCCGUAACUUCGGGAGAAGGGGUGCCCAUGAAAGUGGGCCGCAGAGAAUAGGCUCAAGCAACUGUUUAGCAAAAACACAGGUCUAUGCGAAACCGAAAGGUGAAGUAUAUGGGCUGACGCCUGCCCGGUGCUGGAAGGUUAAGAGGAGAGGUUAGCGCAAGCGAAGCUUUGAAUUUAAGCCCCAGUAAACGGCGGCCGUAACUAUAACGGUCCUAAGGUAGCGAAAUUCCUUGUCGGGUAAGUUCCGACCC
rnacentral:rRNA from 1 species